UCCACUAAUGAUAUUCUUAAAGUAAUGUUAAACACAUGAUCUUGGUACUAACAUACUCAUUGUGAACCCAGCCUAUUGCAAAAAUGGAAUCCUUUUGUAAUACUAUCUGUGGAAUAUCAGCACAAUAUAACUCUCUGGGAGUAAGUGGGAUUUUUUUUUUUUUUUUUGGUUAAUAGGUUAAAUUUUUAGUAAACCACAUGCCUAUUUUCAGUUAACACUGGUAAUACAGUUGCAAUAUGUGGUACAGUUUAUCAGUUCAUAACUACUAUGACACAUGAGAAUUGCAUGUGGAAUAUUUAAUAGACUUUUUCAUGUUAAGUUUUCUUAUUUUGAGUUUUUACUUUAUACGUGUAUUAAUAACUAGAUAAGUAAAAAAUGUUUUAAAUUGACACCUGAUUAUUGAGUGCAUUUGGUGGAUUAAAACUUCUUAAAAACAUAUAUCUUGGCAGCUCCAUGUCUAGAAAUUUUGGUAAUGAGUGCUAGAAAAACUAAUAGCUUUAAUGGGAGAAUGGGGAAUGAGAAAUGUAGAAAUAUCCAAGGUUGAAGCCAAAAGUGAGGGGAGUGACCAAAUGGUAAAAUUUUUGUACUCAUUUACUACCUCCUAAAAAUGUAACCUGUUUUUAGGAUUUAAAUCACUAAAUUAAUAUGUAUCCUUGCCAAAUGUCAUGAGGGUCACAUUUGUUCUAAGAGUGAUUUUUUAAGGUCUUUAUACUUCACCUUAUAUUUGUCAGCAUCAUUUCUCUGUUUAUUCAAGAACUUAUGGGGGCAGAAUGUCAGCAAUAAAUCAGCAAUAAGACCCUUGUAACAGGGUCUAAAAGGAAAGUUGGAAACAAAGCCAUUGCUAUAUUUUUGUAACACCCUUAACUUCUAAGUCUUCCAGUGAAUUUUAGGCCCAAAGAUUCCUAUGUAUUACCCACCCCAUGUUUUGUGCUGUCAACUAUAUUAACUAUUAUUUAAAAGUUAAAAUUAUUUGGUUUGUGAUUCAUUCUUCCAUAUGACAUUGGGCACAUUUAUUUUAAAACAUGUUCCUGUUAAUAUGACUAUCUCAUUGUCUUUUUUGAGAGAAAAAUAGAGAACAACAAAUCUUCAUGAUAAACUUAAAAGAAAAAAAAA
rnacentral:lncRNA from 1 species